UAACCUUAUCUAUAUUCUUCUGAGGAAUCUAUCUGUCUUGAGUGGGGAGAGAUUAGAUUAUUCUGAGAGGAAUGGAAAUAGAAAGCAUUAAUAUUCAGCUCUGACAUCUAAAUUUGGAUCUUUGAUUACUUAACAAGAGAACUGCCUUAAAAGUGACACUCAACUGUCUCACCUUAUCACCUAAAUUUCAUCACGGAAAGAAAAGGUAGCAUCUUGGCUUUGCCUUGAGGAACCACCUCUGCCUGUUUCCCAAAUCUGAAGAAAUCAGUCUAAGCAAAGUCAGUCCAGGAUAUUUUCUGGAAAUAUCACAAAAGAAGCCUGUUUCUUCUGCU
rnacentral:lncRNA from 1 species